GCGCCCGUAGCUCAGCCCGGAUAGAGCGUUUGCCUCCGGAGCAAAAGGCCGUAAGUUCGAAUCUUACCGGGCGCACCA
rnacentral:tRNA from 1 species